GAGCAGUUGAUGAAAAAAAUGUUUGGUUCUGAGAUUAUCUCAAUGAUGUCUCAAGAAAAUCGAGCUUUUUAAAACUGAUGCUCA